UACGAAGGGGGCUAGCGUUGCUCGGAAUCACUGGGCGUAAAGCGCACGUAGGCGGAUUGUUAAGUCAGGGGUGAAAUCCUGGAGCUCAACUCCAGAACUGCCUUUGAUACUGGCGAUCUUGAGUCCGGGAGAGGUGAGUGGAACUGCGAGUGUAGAGGUGAAAUUCGUAGAUAUUCGCAAGAACACCAGUGGCGAAGGCGGCUCACUGGACUGGUAUUGACGCUGAGGCACGAAGGCCAGGGGAGCAAACGGG
rnacentral:rRNA from 1 species